GUGGGGAAUAUUGGACAAUGGGCGCAAGCCUGAUCCAGCCAUACCGCGUGGGUGAAGAAGGCCUUCGGGUUGUAAAGCCCUUUUGUUGGGAAAGAAAUCCUGUCGGUUAAUACCUGGCGGGGAUGACGGUACCCAAAGAAUAAGCACCGGCUAACUUCGUGCCAGCAGCCGCGGUAAUACGAAGGGUGCAAGCGUUACUCGGAAUUACUGGGCGUAAAGCGUGCGUAGGUGGUGGUUUAAGUCCGUUGUGAAAGCCCUGGGCUCAACCUGGGAAUUGCAGUGGAUACGGGAUCACUAGAGUGUGGUAGAGGGAUGCGGAAUUUCUGGUGUAGCAGUGAAAUGCGUAGAGAUCAGAAGGAACAUCCGUGGCGAAGGCGGCAUCCUGGGCCAACACUGACACUGAGGCACGAAAGCGUGGGGAGCAAACAGGAUUAGAAACCCCUGUAGUCC
rnacentral:rRNA from 1 species